AUGCAAUGGCCUGGUCCCUGGUUCCUGUCCCUGAGGGUGAGUCCCUCACCACCAAGAGGUCCUUCCACAGGAAGUCUUCUUGCUGGUGCAGAUCAGGUUUCUGGGCUUCUUUGGAUCCUAAACCUUGUAGAGCCACCCGGACUGGGCAGUAGUUACCUGUGCAGGGGACAGAGGGGCCCACACUGCCACCAUCCCUCCCCUGCAAACAUGGGAGACCCCAACAGAGUCCCCUGCAGGCAGAACCUCGCAGUAACAACCCUUUCUCCCACCCCCGUGCAGACAGCACCUGUCCCACCUGACAGCCUUCUCAGCUCAUCCAGGAGCCGCCAUGGACACCUCCUGCCCCGCUCUGCUGAGGGACGCGGGAGCCACUGGGGACACAGAGGGCUUGGGGGACCUGACAUCGGUCCCCACCCCAGGAAGUCCCCAUGCAGGAUGCAAUCUUGGCCUCGGGAUUCUGCUCCCUCUCCCGGGGCUCCCAGGAAGGGAGACGAGUGGUGCACAAAUGAAAAUGCAACAACAGAAAUCAAAUGAACAGAAAUCAAAACACAAAAAUGAACAAACUCACUCUGCUCCCAUCACCAACAGAAAACAUGAACUGAAUCAGCUACACUGGACCAACUACGGAGACUGUUCUAUGGAAUAAAAUGUUAAAAUGAGAAAACA
rnacentral:lncRNA from 1 species